rnacentral:rRNA from 1 species
GAUGAACGCUGGCGGCGUGCCUAACACAUGCAAGUCGAACGGAAAGGCGCUGCUUUUGCGGGGUGCUCGCGUGGCGCAGGGGUGUGUAACACGUGAGUAUCCCGCCCUUGACUUUGGGAUAUCUUCAGGAAACUGCGGCUACUACCGGCUAGGAGAUCCUGCUGCAUGGUGGGGGUUGGAAAGUUUCGGCGGUGGGAGAUGGACUCGCGGCUUAUCAGCUUGUUGGUGGGGUAGUUGCUCACCAAGCCUUUGACGGAUAGUCGGCAUGUGAGGGGGACCGGCGACAAUAGUACUAAGAGAGGGCGCAGACGGGUACAGGAGGCAGUAGGGGAAAACAUUGCACAAUGAGGGGAAGCCUGAUGCAGCAACGCCCCGAUCGGGAAGACGGCUUACGGGGGGUAAACCGCUGUCGCCUGAGACGAAGCGGGAUUGACGGUAAUGGGUAAAGAAGCACCGGCUAACUACGUG